UUAUUAUAUCUCUACGCGCCGUGGAAAAGGAAAAGCACGCAAAGUAUUAUCGCCACAUUCAAAUAUCUGUUAAACAUUUAAUACGACGCCGACGGUUACAGAUAUUGCUUAAAGGAGAAACAUGUAAAUAACACGACAUCGAGUUAAGCAUUUCUUUUGCCGUUUCUUCAUGCCGAACGUUCUGGAAACUAAACUAUACCUUUGCAGACGCCACGAAACGUUGUCGCUUGGACGAGUUGAACAGCUUGGCGGGCACGCGACGCGAGACGGGGUAUAACCCGUGAACACCGAAUUUGUGCGCGUACCAAGUCAAGGAAGAUCGAAAACUUUUUCUAAUAACGUUCCUUCGAUCACGUGUUUCUAGAUCCUUUGUCUUGAAACCUUCUAGAACGUUCGACAGAGUUUACGUGGUUGAGCAAAGCGCGAGUCGAGGGGACUCUUCAUCGUACAGCCGCGACGAGCGCGAUAAUUAGUCCGAUCGAACAAUUUUGAGCGUAGUUUGUCUUACUGUAAAAUUCAUUGUGAAGCAAGUGGUAGGCAAAGGACUCUGUUCGUUCGUUAAAUAUCCUAGACAUCCGACAUCCAGCAUCGCUAACCCGAGCGAUCUCAUCGAUAGUUGAGAUAGAAGUUUCAUAAGCCGAGAAACGAGCAUCGUUCCUUCGAGACACGGAUAUAUGUAUAGGUAAACAGACUAGAAGUUGAGGAGUGAAUUCGUGGGGAUGGCCACUGACGAAGGAAAUAAGGGAAGAGGAAAAAGCGCCGAGUUUCUAAGAGACUUGUCUUCGAGAAUGUUUUCAAUUUCCUCGUUUCUUAUACCGUGGACUUGUUCUCCUCUUCAGUUAAAUAGGAUAGUUUUGUCUCGAGUAGCUUCGAAUCCUGCUGAAAUCGCUAUCUUUCCGCGACGUAUCCUUUUAUGCAUACGAAACAUUUCUCUAGGCGAUAUUUUGGUGACGCGAGCCUUCGCGUGCAGGAAAGUUACAUGCCAUUAUAAAAAGUUACUUAAUUUUACGUAACAGAAUGCUCGUCGGUUUUAAUUCUAUUCCAGUGUCCUCAAGAACGCGGCUGAAAGAGACAGACAAUCACCCUCUCCCUCUACUUGUUGUGUGCCGGAUAAUUAAUUACAUAAAAUAAACAAUAAUAGCUAGACACUUGUUACGCAUUUCUAAUUUGCGACAUCAGAGACAUGGUUUCAUUCCUAUAAAUAAAUUAGAAAUAUGCAUCUUAGUUUGAGAAUUUUUAAUUAGACGAUUAGAAAUUA